CUUCAGUUUCUUUGGUAAAUAGGUCUGCCAGGUCAGCCACAGUCAAGACAGAGGCCUCUGAAUGCUUUGCUGAUGAGUUCGUGUGACUGCAAGGUUUCCCAAAUGAGCACAGUCAGAAAGAAACCCCAAGCCAUCAGCGAUUAUAUUUGUAGUAAUACGAACUAGACACAUAUUUUUUCUUAAGUUUUUGUAAUUGGGAUAUAAGAAACUCCCAGAGGAAAGCAAGUGAUAAAAUCUUUGUUAUACCUUGUCAAAGUGAAGAUUUCUAUAUAUUACUUUUAGUGUUUGUCAAAGUGUUUUUUCUCUGUGCAAUUAAUAGAACAAAGAAUAAAACUCUUGACUACUGCUACUAAGGCUCUCACCUUACAAAUUACCUUCUUACCACCUGAAGUUAAUUUGUUUCAAGAGAAUUUCAAACAACUCAUAACUGCUAUUUUAUUAAAACAACCUAAAUAAAAAUCACUGAAGUCUGAUACACAAGGAAAACAAGAACUUUAAAAAGCCUUCAUGUUUUAGGUAAAAAGGCCCUUGUGGAAGCCUCUUUCCUUCCCAGAAACCAUCAAUGGAAGAAAAUUUCUAGUUUCAAAUUGCUUCUUUGCUAUGUGACAAUCCCUUCUAAGGCAAUAAUCUCUUCCUUGGGUACCAUCCAAUCCUACCUACCUCCUAAAGAUGUAGAAAGAUUUAUGUUUUCAAAAAGAUUUAAAUAAAUUAUACCAUAAAUAUUAGAAAGUUCUAUGAUUCCAGAGUCAAGCUUUUAAAAUUAAGACUGGUUUAGUCUCUCUGCUUUUGUUUUGUCUUUGGAUUGACACCACAAUUAACCUUAACAAGUUUGUUUUUUUUUUUUUUUUUUUUGAGACACAGACUCGUUCUGUUGCCCAGGCUGGAGUGCAGUGGCACGAUCUUGGCUCACUGCAACCUCCACCUCCGGGGUUCAAGCGAUUCUCCUGCUUCAGCCUCCCGACUAGCUAAGACUAUGGUGCGUGUCACCAUGCCUGGCUAAUUUUUGUGUUUUUAGUAGAGAUGGGGUUUCACCAUGUUGGCCAGGCUGGUUUCGAACUCCCAGCCUCAGAAAGUGAUCCAAUGUGGCAAAGGAAUGUAGUAUAGUUUAUAUUUACAUGUUACAAUUAAUAAAUUAAUUCAAAUAUACAAAGUCUGGAGCACUGACUGGGAAACAGUGAAAAGGCAAAACGUCAGACUUUGCUUUUAAAAACGUAUUUGUGCUAUAUUUUUCGUUGUCAUCUAAGUGAAGAAGUUCUAAAGAUACAAACUUUUAACAGGAAAACCUUCCCCCUUCUACUUGUGGUAAAUUAUUACCUACCUUCUCUCAGCAGUUUUCAGCAUUGCCUGCAUUCUUUCUUCUAUUGUUGCUUUAAUUAAGAAUCUGUGUACAAUAGUAGGUCUAAAAGGUACAGAAGAAUUUUAAGCUUAAAAACAUAGUAAAACAAAUCAGUACAAACCGACUUCACAUUUUAUAUGCUAUAUUCAUCAGUCAGUUGGUGCCCACUUGUGGCAGGUGCUGGGAGGGGUUCAGCAGCGAAUAAAAUGAACUAUUUAAUCUCCAUGAGCUGACAUUCUAAUGAGAGACAGACAAUAAACACAUAAAAGAGUAAGACGGUUUCAGGUAAAUAUAAUGCUGGGAGAACAGGCUGACAUGCAAACUGAAAAAAGAGUGAUGGGAAUGAGGCCAGUAGGCAAAGGAGGAGUAGGAAGAAUAUCCAAACAGAAGAAACAGCACAUACAUACACAGUCCCCGGGAAGGGAAUAUGCCUGGAACAAGCCUAACAUGUUCAAGAGGCCAAAAGAAGGCUGGCAUGGCAGAAGCAUCCUGUAAGCGAGGGAGAGAGGUGAAAAUAAGGGUGGAGAGAUGUGCAGGGGCCAGGUCACACAGGGCCUUCCAGGAUGUGACCAAGCAUUUGAAUUUUAUCGUGGUUAUAAUGGGAAGCCCUUGGUGGGUUUGUAUGCAUGAUUUGAUGUAUACCUGACUGUACUUUAGAAAUCCCUUUGGCAACCGUGUGGAGGAUGUACUUCUUGCUCAGCAAGAAGAGCACCAGAGAAGCCAGUUAAGAAGUCCUGUAGUCAUCUGGGCAAAACACUUGAAGCAUUUCAGUUAAGGGAUGCUCAACCUGUACAAGGGAAAUGUACACCUGUCCUUGAAAAAUGAGAAAGAAUGGAGUCCAGGACAAAUGAAUGGAUGGCUUUUGAAAGAAAAGGGACACUUCUGCUGUAAUAAAAGGGAAGGCAUAUGAGGUACUUUCCUGCUUAUUACUGGAUGACAUAUCCAUGCUUCUGCCUACUACCAACCCCUUCCUCCACUUCAGUGUUUGAUCCCAUAUCCUCUUGCCUACUCAAGGACAUUGUCAAGCAUUCUCCCUGUUCUCCUUCACUAGUUUUUGUUGUCUCUAAUGAAUCAUUUUCUUACUAAUUCUCCCAUUUGAAAGGAAAACAAAAACCUCUCUUGAUCUCAUUCUCUUCCUUUUCUCUGCAGCAAAACUCCUCAAAAUACUGGCCUUACCAGCCACACAGAAGCAGCAGUGCACUGUGGUUAAAGCUUGUACUGUGAAGGCAGAAUGGCUGUGCCUGAAAUCUGCCACUGCUUCUACUAGCUGCCUGACUAUGGGCAAGUUACCUAACCUCUCUUUGUUAUACAAAUAUUUGUUAAAUAAGAAAUACACAAAAUCCCAUUUUCUCCAAAACUAAAGUCAGGCUGUCACCUCUACCACUUAACCUGGUUUUGAUCUCCAUGUUGCUAAAUCUAAUGAUCAAUUCUCAAUCCUUAUCUUCCUUGACAUUUUUCAUAGCACUUGAAACAGGUGACCAUAACCUCUUCUUUGAGGUACAUUUUUCACUUGGUUCCUAGGACACUCCUGUCUUCUGGUUUUCUUCCUAACUCACUGUUUGAUCUUUAUUUGUUACCUUUGCUGCUUCCUUCUCCUCUCCUAGAACAGCUGAACUUUGGUGCCCUGGAGUUCAGUCCAUGGUCCUCUAUCUAAACUCUGUCUCUAUCUAAACUCACUCCUAGGUAAUCUCAUUCAGUCUCGUGACUUAAUGGACUUGUACAUCUAGUUACAGAAUAGAAAUCUCCAUUUGGAUGUCUGUUCUUCCCUUACCAAAUCUGCUCUACCCUGUAGACUUCUCCAGCUCAGUUGAAGGUUACUUCAUCCUUCUAGUUGUCCAAGCCAAAACCCAUGGUGUUAUCCUUGACCCUCUCAUACCCCAUGUCUAGUCUGUCCAAAAGUACUAUCAGUUCUAUCUUCAAAAUAUAUCCAGAACCUGACCACUCCUCAUCAUGUGCACUGCUACUGCCAUGGUCAGGUCACCUUCAGCUCUCACCAGGAUGACUGCAAUAGCCUCCAAGACUCUCCCUGCUUCUACUCUUCCUUGCUCCCCUUCACUCCCACCCUAUCACAGCACUCAGAAUGAUUCUUUUAAAACUUAAGUGAGAUAUGCCAAGCCUCUGUUCAAAGCCUUCCAAUGGCUCCCGAUUUCACACAGGGCAAAAGCACCAUCCUCACAGUGGCUUCCUGGGCCCAAUGUAAUCCCUCUCCCCACUGAGCCCAUUCACUUCAACUCCUGCUUCUCUCCCUUUUAGCAACUGUAGCUCCUUGCUAUUCUUCUAACAUACCACACUCCUGAUUUAGGGCCUUUGCACCGAAAGCACUGUUUACUUGAACAUUCUUUCACAAGAUAGCUGCAUGACUAACUUUCCCAUUUUCCCAUUUCUUUCAAGUCCUUGCUCAGACUUUCUCAAUAAGGCCUUGCAUGCCUUCCUGCCCAAACAUUGCACUUUUACUUCCUCACCCUGCUCUACUUUUCCAGCUCCUAACAUAGUCCAGAUUGUACUUAGUUUAUUGUUUACCACCUUUCUGUCUACCAACCCCAUUACAGCUAGAAUCGCACUCCAUGAGGACAUCUCAUGUUCCUAAAACAGUGCCUGGCACACAGAAGAUACUCAAUAAAAAUCUACCAAAAAGUAUGUGAGUACUGAUGCAGGCAGACUGUUCAAGUUGAUGAUGGAAAGAUGAGGUACUUCUAAUCUGAUUGUAUAUGUUUCCCCUGUAUGAGGCAAGAUCGCCAUGGGGAGGAAGAAGACACACUUAAGACAGACUCCUCAGAAAGUAGAAAAAAACAUAUUGACUU
rnacentral:lncRNA from 10 species